rnacentral:rRNA from 1 species
GUCGAACGGUAACAUUUAUAUUUUUCAAAAAGUAUAAGAUGACGAGUGGCGAACGGGUGAGUAAUAUUUGGGAAUCUACCUUUUAGUGGGGAAUAACUAUUGGAAACUUUAGCUAAUACCGCAUAAUAUUAAAUUAUUUUUUUAAUUUAAUUAAAGCAGGGGAUCUUUUUAAGACCUUGCGCUAUUAGACGAGCCCAGAUGAGAUUAGCUAGUAGGUAAGGUAAAGGCUUACCUAGGCAACAAUCUCUAGCUGGUCUGAGAGGAUAACCAGCCACAUUGGAACUGAGAUACGGUCCAAACUCCUACGGGAGGCAGCAGUGGGGAAUCUUGCACAAUGGGGGAAACCCUGAUGCAGCUAUGCCGCGUGUAUGAAGAAGGUCUUUGGAUUGUAAAAUACUUUCAGUAGGGAAGAAGAAAAUAAAACUAAUAUUUUUAUUUUUUGACGUUACUUACAAAAGAAGCACCGGCUAACUUCGUGCCAGCAGCCGCGGUAAUACGAAGGGUGCAAGCGUUAAUCGGAAUUAUUGGGCGUAAAGGACACGUAGGUGGCUUAUUAAGUUAGUGGUGAAAUCCCUGAGCUUAACUCAGGAACUGCCUCUAAAACUAAUAAACUAGAGUAUCGUAGAAGGAGGUAGAAUUCCAAGUGUAGCGGUGAAAUGCGAAGAUAUUUGGAGGAAUACCAGAGGCGAAAGCGACCUCCUAAACGCAUACUGACACUGAGGUGUGAAAGCAUAGGUAGCAAACAGGAUUAGAUACCCUGGUAGUCUAUGCUGUAAACGAUGUCGACUAGAAGGUUGUUGCAAAAAUGACUUUCGUAGCUAACGUGAUAAGUCGACCGCCUGGGGAGUACGAUCGCAAGAUUAAAACUCAAAUGAAUUGACGGGGGCCCGCACAAGCGGUGGAGCAUGUGGUUUAAUUCGAUGCAACGCGAAAAACCUUACCUGGCCUUGACAUCACAUAGAAUUUGACAGAAAUGUUAAAGUGCUUUGAAAAAAGAACUAUGAGACAGGUGCUGCAUGGCUGUCGUCAGCUCGUGUUGUGAAAUGUAGGAUUAAGUUCCGUAACGAGCGCAACCCUUAUCCUUAGUUACCAUCAGACUGUAAAGUGCUGGGCACUCUAAGGAAACUGCCGGGUCAAAUCCGGAGGAAGGUGAGGACGACGUCAAGUCAUCAUGGCCCUUAUGGCCAGGGCUACACACGUGCUACAAUGGUGUAUACAAAGAGUUAGCAAUUAUCGCAAGAAUGAGCAAAUCUCAAAAAGUACACCGUAGUCCAGAUUGGAGUCUGCAACUCGACUCCAUGAAGAAGGAAUCGCUAGUAAUUGUGGAUCAGCAUGCCACGGUGAAUAUGUUCUCGGGCCUUGUACACACCGCCCGUCACACCAUGGAAGUGAAUGGUAAAAGAAGUAAGUUU